GACGAACGCUGGCGGCGUGCCUGAUACAUGCAAGUCGAGCGGACUUGAUGAGAAGCUUGCUUCUCUGAGAGUUAGCGGCGGACGGGUGAGUAACACGUAGGCAACCUGCCUGUAAGACUGGGAUAACUACCGGAAACGGUAGCUAAUACCGGAUAGGUGAUUUUCUCGCAUGAGGAAGUCAAGAAAGACGGAGUAAUCUGUCACUUACGGAUGGGCCUGCGGCGCAUUAGCUAGUUGGUGAGGUAAUGGCUCACCAAGGCGACGAUGCGUAGCCGACCUGAGAGGGUGAACGGCCACACUGGGACUGAGACACGGCCCAGACUCCUACGGGAGGCAGCAGUAGGGAAUCUUCCGCAAUGGACGAAAGUCUGACGGAGCAAUGCCGCGUGAGUGAUGAAGGUUUUCGGAUCGUAAAGCUCUGUUGCCAGGGAAGAACGUCUUAGAGAGUAACUGCUCUAAGAGUGACGGUACCUGAGAAGAAAGCCCCGGCUAACUACGUGCCAGCCGCCGCAGUAA
rnacentral:rRNA from 1 species